GACGAACGCUGGCGGCGUGCUUAACACAUGCAAGUCGAACGGAAAGGCCCUGCUUUUGUGGGGUGCUCGAGUGGCGAACGGGUGAGUAACACGUGAGUAACCUGCCCUUGACUUUGGGAUAACUUCAGGAAACUGGGGCUAAUACCGGAUAGGAGCUCCUGCUGCAUGGUGGGGGUUGGAAAGUUUCGGCGGUUGGGGAUGGACUCGCGGCUUAUCAGCUUGUUGGUGGGGUAGUGGCUUACCAAGGCUUUGACGGGUAGCCGGCCUGAGAGGGUGACCGGCCACAUUGGGACUGAGAUACGGCCCAGACUCCUACGGGAGGCAGCAGUGGGGAAUAUUGCACAAUGGGCGGAAGCCUGAUGCAGCAACGCCGCGUGCGGGAUGACGGCCUUCGGGUUGUAAACCGCUUUCGCCUGUGACGAAGCGUGAGUGACGGUAAUGGGUAAAGAAGCACCGGCUAACUACGUGCCGGCAGCCGCGGUGAUACGUAGGGUGCGAGCGUUGUCCGGAUUUAUUGGGCGUAAAGGGCUCGUAGGUGGUUGAUCGCGUCGGAAGUGUAAUCUUGGGGCUUAACCCUGAGCGUGCUUUCGAUACGGGUUGACUUGAGGAAGGUAGGGGAGAAUGGAAUUCCUGGUGGAGCGGUGGAAUGCGCAGAUAUCAGGAGGAACACCAGUGGCGAAGGCGGUUCUCUGGGCCUUUCCUGACGCUGAGGAGCGAAAGCGUGGGGAGCGAACAGGCUUAGAUACCCUGGUAGUCCACGCUGUAAACGGUGGGUACUAGGUGUGGGGUCCAUUCCACGGGUUCCGUGCCGUAGCUAACGCUUUAAGUACCCCGCCUGGGGAGUACGGCCGCAAGGCUAAAACUCAAAGGAAUUGACGGGGCCCCGCACAAGCGGCGGAGCAUGCGGAUUAAUUCGAUGCAACGCGUAGAACCUUACCUGGGUUUGACAUGGAUCGGGAGUGCUCAGAGAUGGGUGUGCCUCUUUUGGGGUCGGUUCACAGGUGGUGCAUGCCUGUCGUCAGCUCGUGUCGUGAGAUGUUGGGUUAAGUCCCGCAACGAGCGCAACCCUUGUUCACUGUUGCCAGCACGUUAUGGUGGGGACUCAGUGGAGACCGCCGGGGUCAACUCGGAGGAAGGUGGGGAUGACGUCAAGUCCUCAUGCCCCUUAUGUCCAGGGCUUCACGCAUGCUACAAUGGCUGGUACAGAGAGUGGCGAGCCUGUGAGGGUGAGCGAAUCUCGGAAAGCCGGUCUCAGUUCGGAUUGGGGUCUGCAACUCGACCUCAUGAAGUCGGAGUCGCUAGUAAUCGCAGAUCAGCAACGCUGCGGUGAAUACGUUCCCGGG
rnacentral:rRNA from 1 species